GGAGGGACCGGGGCGGGGGCGCCGGGCCGCAGCGUCCCCCCCCCCUCCCCGGAGCGGCUGUCGGCUCCGACCGCCGGGUCACGGCGCCGUGUGUUAGGGGCGCCUCUCCGGACUUGGGGCUCCAGCCCCACCGCGGGGAUUUUAUUUAUUUAUUCCAGAGACACCGAGAGAGGGGCAGAGACCCAGGCAGCGGGAGAAGCAGGCUCGGUGCAGGGAGCCCGAGGCGGGACUCCGUCCCAGCACCCCGGGGCCUCGAUCUGAGCCUGGAGCUUCACUCGCAGACCCUUUCCUCCCGUCCCUUGAUACUGGGGAGAAGGGUCGUUCUACUUGCGGGUGCACACUCCUUCCAGCCUCGGCCCCGGUGAAAGCAAAUGAUGAACGAAGCUUCCUUUUAUACCGCGAGCUGCAUUGGCCGCUAGUCCGCCGGGGACUGGGGGGCUGUGACGUGUGGCAGCAGAGGCCUUGUGCGGAACACAUGACGAGGAUGCGAAGUUGAGUAAGAGGAGGAUUCCCUUUCCCCCGAGACGCUAUGCUGAAAAGUGCCAUAGCAAGAAAGAGGUUCUUUCUCAAAUCUCGCAGGGAUUGGCUCUAGGAUGAGUACGGUUUGUCUGAAGUUAGGCGUAAAAGUCAGAAAUGACUUACCCCUUCCAGCGAUAACCAAGCCAGUUUGAACUAGGUUAUCUUUUUAAAAAAAAAAAAAAAUCACGAUGUUAUCAGGAUGAAUCCUUUCGUGGACUCCGCAGAAACA